UGCACCUGUUUCUCGUUGUCUCCCCUAACUAUAUGUAUUUAGUCAGAGUUUUUCCUUUGUCUAGUGUCAGUUUGUUAUUUGUACUUUGUACUGCAUGUCAAGCUUACAGCCGUGUUUUUGUUCCUUUUUUUGCCUGGACCUGCCCUAUGGAUUGGACUUUUGGAUUUUUCUGCCUGCCUUUGGAUUUGUUUGCCUGUUUGUACUGCUUCUUUGGAUUUGACUUUUGCCUGCCUCGCCAUCCCGUCUCUUUUGGAGCCUUUUUCUGGCUGCAGGAGGUUGCAAUGGUAACGGUAACAUUAACAUGACUAGUUGAUUCUGAGAAUCAACUCUGAUGGCUCCAAAUGCACAUCAAAGUCACAGAUCAGUCGAAAAUCUGGCAAGAAGGGCAUCUCUCAUCAGCAUGUGAUGAGCAUGUGGACUUUGAUGCAAAACUACUGAAAUGCAACACAUUUGAUUUGAUUUUUGUAAUGCCUGUUAUGCUUUUCAGCAGUAUGAGUUCACAUUUUAGCCAUGCUAGCCUAUUGUGAGCAUUAGAUUCGGUAGACACUAUAUACUGUAUACACAAUGUUCGUGAUUAUAUGUAUUAAUGCUUUGGAUUUUCUGUGUGUUACCCAUUUCAGCCCAGUUUAAACUGACAUAAUUGUUUUAAAUUUUAAUAAGUAAAUAUUCUACAAUUAAAAAGCAUAUUUUAAGGACAAAUGUUCAUCAGAAAUUGUGCAAUUGGAUUGUUUUUUACAGGAAGAUAUUGCUAGCAAAUUAUCAGUAAAAUUGUGAUUAUAGCUAUGUACUAAUUUGUGCUACUACUACUGUAAUCAAACUAAACGAAUACUACUUUCACUAAGUGAAAAUACAAUAAUAAUACUGAAAAUGAAAAUGCAGUAAUAAUACUGUAAAUGAAAAUACUGUAAUUGAAAUUACAGUAGUGAUAAUGGUACUGUAAAUGAAAUUACAGUAACUUACUGGAAUCUAGCGGCCAGUAAGUUACUGUAAAAUUUACAGUAACGCCUUUACAGUGUCAUUUUUAUGUAUUCUUUAUUUUCUCAGUAUUCAUUUCUAGGAU